UCCUGCGCAGUGUAUCGGCGUGGAUCAUUUAGAUUUAGAUAAACAUAACCAUAAGCGAUAAACGUAUUCGAGAUUGCGACCGGAAUGUAAUUCAUGAUGUGUAUAAAUUCAAAUACAAAAUGCUACAAAGAGGACGUUAUGGAUGCAAAUUAGAAAUAAACAUCAUAGCACUACUCGAAAAAUUUGUAUGUUAGUUUUAAAACUUCCUGGAGGAAAUGUGUUCUGGAUGACCAACAACGUUAACUGUUUGGAUAUGGAUGUUCUUUUUGUAUAGUGCAGUGAGGUAUACCAACGUACGGGUCCCUCGUAAUUGUAAACUUUCGUUGUACAUUAGUUUUCGUAUUGGGUAUUCUAAUUACAGUUCCACCUAAGUCCACCGAUUUUUAUGUUCCACAAUUCGUGCUUACGACAAGCACCACUAAUGCCAACUAUAAGAGCAACCUGCAAAUGUAAAAUAAAUAUGAUGUAACGAGUAACGAUUUGAACGUGUAAUGUUAUAGUAGAUAUGAACUGUCGGGGGUGCUUUUUGAAUAAACAUUUUUACUUUGCUCGUUGAUAGAAUUUUUGACUUUUUAGGGAAAUAUCCGCUGGAUUGCAUUUUUAACAAGGCCUGCAACUUAGCAUAGCUGCUUAUAUCUACAUUAUUGUUCAAAAGUAUCGUAGAGCACAGCAUGGAAUAC